UAAUGUGUUAAGAAAGCAGUUAAUUCAUCUUGAAGUUUGUUUUGUUUGAUCCUAGGUAGUUAGUUGGUUAGUCUAACUACCAAAAGUUGUUAGGAAUUAGUUAGGCCAAGGUAGUUACUUAUAGCUUAAGUAACAAGUAUAAAUACACCUUAGUGUAUCAAUUGUAAUCAUAACCUUUUGGCCCAUUAAGGAUGAAUAAAAUUUCUAUUUUUCUCUAA
rnacentral:lncRNA from 1 species